GCUGGCCCUAACGAAUUUGAAUGAAGAGCCCUGCUCUUUCGGCGCCAUUUUCGAGUGGUGCCCCAGCGCGGCGCUGCCGCGGGGCCGCUCGCCGCCGCCUCCCUCUCCUCCUUCCCCCUCCCUCCCCUCCAACCUUACCUCGAACACCCCCUUCUCCUCCGUUCCUUCUCCCCCAUUUUUCUCCUCCUCCUCCUCGCCGCCGCGGAUUCGGAGCCGGAGCCUCCGCUACGGGCGGUUUCGACCUUUCAAUAGAGAGCUGAUUUUGGAGAACGGCUUAGUCCUGUGAUUGAAAAACUCUUUCUGGAAGGUUGAUGGAGCAUGAGCAUGGUCUGGUCAGCAACUCCAGUGCAAUUUGAAGAUAUGUAAUCUGCUGGCAACGAUGUACCCAACCUUAAUCAGAGCUGGAGUCUUUGGAAGAGAGAUUGUCAUCGCACGAUGUAUAGUCCCACAGUGACUGGCCUUGGUGAAACUGUGACAGAAGAAAACAGUUUGAUUUUUUUGGCCCUAAAUCAAAGAGAAGUUCUGUUGAUAAGUGAACAUUUAAGGCUGUCUUCAGAAUUUUACUUAUUUGAGCAAAGCAAGAACAAAUAUGUAAGUAUAAGCAAUGUGCAGACCAAUAUUGCAAUAUUGUUCUGUUCUGUCUUUAAGCAGGUGGUUUCAUGUGGCAGGCUGGAGGAGAGAUUCUUUUUCUUCCCAGCUUUUGACAAAAAGAUGACGCAUAUGACUCAGAAUUAGAAGGGGAAAUCUGCCAGUUUGCAUCAGUUCCUCAACUUGUGGGUUGCUAUUCACCACAAGGAAAAUUGGUAUACUCGCACCAGUGCUUCUUGAGAGAUGAAGAGUAAUCAUUUCCUUCAGAAAGUGUAGGAUGAUUGGAGUAGGCCUUUCAUAUGUGACACUAGGCUUUUCCUAUAAGAGAAUGCGGUAUUAGUGGCACUGAAUCGGAAUCGUGAGCCCUGAGAGGAGGAGAGCUUUGCAAAUUUACCUGCAGUUUGGGGAAAAAAAGCUAUCACUGCAAAACGCCUUGUCUGUCCUAAGAACCCUUGUAGCAGAGACCAUCCUGCAGUGUUAUUGUAGGAGCAAACACAGGAAAGAAGAGGAGGAAAACUCCACAAACUUUCCCCAUUUGUGGUCUGCCAAACUGUUUUGUUCUUACAGAUAGCCCUGUUAAUUUAAGAAAAUUAUUUUAUUCUUUGAACUGACUAGAAAACUCCUUACAGUGGGAAGGAACACUUGGAUCUGGUCUAUAAUAAAGAUGCGCGGGAGAGAUGUGAAGUCCAAGUCUCUCACCUACAUCUUCAAAUGAAGUAGCCUGGCCUGUUUUAGGCUGGAGGCAUAUGGACUGCUACAAGCUACUGUUCCUGCUAACAAUCUGAUUUUUCCUCCAGAAUGACAUAAUAAACAGUUGUAAACCUCUCUGCCCGGAGACAGUGGAAAAGAUGAAAGCUGUGUUUCACAUCAGGGGUUUCCAGAUGACCAAAAGUCAGAUGAGAAAAUAACCAAGUGUGUGGUGGUGGAAUUUUGUUGUUUUUUUAAGUAAAUAUCUGCAUAAUCUUUAGUCCCUCAAAUCAGAUGCGGUUGUCCUGUUUCUGGUUCGUGUCCGAUUAAGGUAUUAUGCACACUUGACAAUAAAGUCUAGAGCUGCACUGUAAGUAAACACCUUGGCAAUUAACAAAUGUUUUAGAAACAGUUUGUAGUUUAUACUACUCAUGUCAAUACCCAAAAACUGGUGUUCAGUAAGUUCUACAUUCAGGUUUCAGCAUGUUUCUAUUUCCUUGAAGUACAGUAGACACCUUGGCAUAACGUAGCAGCACAUAAUGGUUUGUGGGUUUUGAAAAGGUGCAGGCCAUAUUGUGCUGCCUCAAAAAUACAAGGAUUUCAUCAUCCCGAACAGAAAUAUAACUUAGGAAUUAGUCAAUCUUGUGAUGCUGAUGUCUGUCAUACUCUAGCAGCACGUAAAUAUUGGUGUUAAGACUGUAAAUAUCUCCAGUAUUAACUGUGCUGCUGAAGUAAGGCUAGCCACUUCUGCAUGUGAGUCAUGAGAGGAUGUUUGACGUAUUUUUCUGAAGCGCUGUUGUUUAUAUGUUGAUUGUUUUUUCUUGGCUGUUGUUUGUAUUUUCAUCUGUUCAGUAACAGUAUAGAGGAACUCAGAAUAUCUGAAGGUAAAUGUAGAAUAGGUGCAUAUGUAAUCUUGAAUGCUUUGCUUUACAUGAAAGCUGCAUAUAAUAAAGGAGUCAGCUCAACCUACACCUGUCUAGCAGUGCUUUGGAGAAUCUCAAUGAAUUGAGAUGAUUGAUAUUGCUGCAGUGAGAAUGGAAAUUACUUGGGUUCCUUUCCUUUUAAAAGCUGCAUGCAAGAACUGUGUGGUACAGGAGCAUGUUGUUCUACAGUACACGUGGAAGCAACAGCUCUGUGGAAGAGCAGUGUUCAUUCCUCCAUCCCAUAGUUCUCCAGACUGCCAGUGACUAUCAAUAGAGCUUUUCAUUAGCCUGUGAUAUAUCAGGAAUUUGCUGACACUGUUACUGCUUUCCAUGUCGCAAGUGGAAUUGAAGUAAAGGCCACCAAGAGGAGGUGUCCAGUCCCGUGGAGGCUUACAACCCCUGUGCUGUCAAGGCAGUGCUGGUAUCUUCAGCGCUUGUCUAUGCAGCCAGCAAAAGCUCAGCUUCUGCUUCCAGAUGUGAGAUACCAAGAUGAUUAACCCACCUAAUGUUUGGAUCCUCUAAUGGUUCACCACCUAGUGCAGGUACAGAACUGACCUGAGAGAGAAAUGUUGUUCUUCGGAUAUGCAAAAUAUGGUGUCAGAUGUUCUACAGAUCUACCUACCUAACAAACUCGGAGAAAAAAAAAUGGUCCUAAAGUCUCACUAAUGUCUAGAUUGUCAUCAUGAUGUAUAGAUGUCAUUCUGUGCUUCUUCCAAGUUCCUGUAGCAGCUAUCACCCACCCAUUUAUUCACCCCAUCACAUCUCUUGCUCUUCUGUAGCUGAUGUUGUUAAAAUUUGCCAGCUGUUAACUGUCCUCCCUUGGAUUCAGCAAGUUGUGUCUGGUUCCACAAAGGCACUGACCCUCUCCAGCCAUAUGUUAUCCCUUUACUCCUCUCAAAGGGGAAAUAAGUGGGCUUGCUUUCUUCUGUGGGUUUCAGCCCACCUCUAGAGCAUGACCUGUUCCUCUGUUCCACCAGUGGCCAGGCCUAGGAGCAAGCUGAAGCGAUUGCAAAAAGAUGCAAAGAUUGAAGAUGGAAGGCUCAACAUGUGUUGUGUGCUGUUUAUUGUUGAAUGCAGUGUUGUAAAUGAAAUGGUUUGUCUGUAAUUAAUUUUAUUACACAUUUUAGUUAUCACUGGGGGGGAAGCAUAGACCAGUCUUUUCAGAAGGCCCUCAAUGAAAGCUGCAAACUGCCUUUGAAACUUAAAGAAAAUUGAGUUCCCAACUCCAGAGUUACCAGUAAAACCCCAGACUUGAUGUUUCCAAUCUAUUGCCUUUUUUUUGUGCUUAGAAUCAGGAUGGAACAAUGUUGCAAUGUUUAAUUCUUAACAGUUUCAGCAAGCACUCAGCUGACUGUUGUAGCAGAAACUUGCUUAGAAAGCAAAGCACUGAAUUCAUUCUCCAAAGCAGAUUUGUACACAUUACUGUUUCCAGCCUGUAGGGCGACAUUCAUCAUCCUUCUGACCAGAAAGAAGCCACCAAUUAUUGAACCAUUGCGUCAGAGGGGAAAUGGAGUAGAAACGGAGUAAGAAUUCUUGGGGAAAUUUACACAUCAGAUCACGCUUGCAGAUAAAACUUCAGGGGGUUAUUUCAGCAGAAACUACGCUACAGUCUAGAACGCUGCCAUUCCCCCAUUUUUUAAAUAGAAGUCAGAUUUAUUUGUGUUUUAUGCGAUGACUGGUGAUUUACAUCCCACCCACCCAUCUGAGAGUAUUCUGGGCUCCAGGCAUAUCUCCAGCCAGUUCCAGACUAUUCAAAUCAUUGUUGGUCCAUCCAUUUACUCGUCACAACGAGGCCUUCUGUGACUAAUUAGGGCCUGACUGCAGCAGGAGAUGCAGCUUCAAAGAGUGGGAAUCUUCAGACGCACUAGCAGUUCCCUUGGUUCUCAAUUCUUUAUUUAUGUGGAUUACAUUGAGUUGACAGAUUUAACUGGGCUGUUGAAGAUACGGUCAAAGAAGCAGAGUCACUCCCUUCCCUUUUAUUGUUUUCUGAAGACAUAACAGUCAUAUGCAUCUGUCACUAGAGAGAGGAAGUUCUCCAUCACUGGGCUUGAUUUGGGCUUUUAUAUGCUGUUUCAGUAGCAUCUGGGAAUAGAUCAAUAUAAUAUUUGGUAGGGAGUUGUAUUUCCUCGUGAUGCACUGUAAAUCUUUUAUUGUAGAUACUCCCACUGUUUAUUGUUGAAAAUCAAUAAAAAUAAACCUUGUAAAGUUAAGGCCUGGCAAGGGUUCAGCACAAAUCACAGGGAAGGAGCAAGAGGCAAUGAGUCUCCCUCCCCCUCUUGGAUAGUUCCCAGCUUGUUUCCCAAUGAAUAUUCAAUAACACUUUCCAGCAAUCUGGGAACAAACUUUUUUUUUUUUUGAAUUAUUCAAAGUUACGAACGCUCUGUUGUGAUCUCAAACAGGACUUCUAAUCCACUUUGGCUGCUUUCUGGCACUGAAUUCAGCUAUGGAUCAAAACCGAGUAUCACCCAGAUUAUGCAUUGGAUAUACAUUAGCCUUAUCCCUUCCAGAGACAGAAAAAAGCACAUCGGCCUUGCUCCGCUCAGGUUAACUGGGUAAUUUGUGAGCAUUACAACUGGACAUUAGCCAAAGUAGGUAAAAAGGGGGAGCAGCCCACUGUGGAGAGAAGCUCCCCAAAAGUCAGAAGAGAAUUUACAACCCCUGUUUGCACACAAGACACGAUGCAAUUACUCUGGCAUCAUUCUUUGCUCUAUGGCUACUAAUUCCUCAUAUACUGCGUCUUUGGGUGGAGUCUUCAAGUCACGAGAUUCAACUACACAGGGAAAUGAGAAAUGUUUUGGAAUUAUUUAGUAAGGGAGAACACUUCACAGUACGAAGGCCAAGCUGAAAGAUUGUUCUUUUUUAAGUCUUAACACAGUAUCAAUCACAACAGGUUUACUUAGACAUCUAUUCUUAAUUGAUUAUACAGUAUUAUGAGCACUGACAGCAGAUGUACAAGAAUGUCGUGUAGCAACUAUACUUCCUGACGGAGUGUAGCCCCUCAAGAAUUACCAUGUUGGAAUCAAUACCCAAAGAAUCUCUAUGGGACAGGGGAGACGACACGACACAAAGAACAGGAAGGUGUUUCAUGCUGGACUCUCCUCUUGCUGCUACCAAUAGAUCUAUGAACAGUUCAGGUGGUAAACAAAGGACAUGUCCCCAGAAGAGAUAAUGAGAACAAGAGGGAACUUUCCAACACUGAAUAAAGAAAUACAGGAUAAAAUCCAACUAUAAAGGAGGGAAAAAUUAUUAAAAUAAGAAAGAAAAUACAAGACGGUUUCAAGUUGUUCCAAACAGUCUCAAGUCGCGUCAAUGGUCUCAAGUCAAUCCAGGGAUGUUCAGAUUGGACAUGAGGAAGAAUUUCUUCAUGGAGAGGGCAACUAAGUAUUGCAACGGGCUGCUCAGGGAAGUGGUGGAGUCCCCAGCCCUGGAGGUACUUGAGACGUGUGGACAUAGCACUAAGGGACGUGGUUUAGUGACGGGCCUCGGUAGCUACCAUCAAGUUGGUGGUUGGACUUGAUGAUCUUGAAGGUCUUUUCCAACCCAAAUGACUCCACUUUAUAAGACAAAUGAGGUGCUGUCUUUCUGAAUCAUCAGCCUUUAACAAAUCUAGCAGCAAGCAAUCACCUAGUUUUAGAAAAUCCACUUCUGUCACAUAAACUUUAAGUGCUUGAAGGACACAAUGGCUGCAUUAUCUUACAUUUUAGUUCCUUUCCCUCUAGCAGCCUUUCUGUUGUGGGAGUACGCUUGUGUGUUAUAAUCAGAGGAGAGCUCACUGCGCCUUGCACGUCCAGAAGUGAGCAGGAGGACCGACUGGCUCGUGGUGCCCCAGCGCUACCGCAGUCAACUUCCAGCAUCUCCAGUACUGGAACAAUUUGCACAUUUUUGCAGAAUCCGAGGAAUAACAAAAAGGCAAAUACAGAACUAAGUUUACUGUAAUCAGCAAAUUUUGUACCCUCCUGGGGAAGAGGAAUUCUCUUGAGAAAGUGGGCAAUGACUUGAAAAAGUGAAUCAAGCCAACGAUUACAAAUUCCAACUUUGUUGGAAAAAACGCCUAAAUGUUUCAAAAUCCCAUUCCUAUUUAAUCAGAAAUUCCUAUUUAAUCAGAAAUAGAGCGAGAUGUUAGUGAUCACAGCUCCUCAUUCUGUCUGUAAAAGCACGACCAAGUCACCUACAAGUCACACCUAGUCCAGCAGAGAUCGUAUUGUGCCUGCGAAGAUUUGUGUGAAAGCUUUCACAUUAUUAAAAAAGCUUUAAAAAAACUUUUUUUUAAAAAAAAAAAAAAAAGCUUUCGCAUUAUUAAAAUACCUAACUAGUUCUGACCGGAAGGCUUUUAAAAUCACUCACAGCUCGUCUGGAGGCCCAUCAGCCAAAUUCACCUCUUGUACAGCCAGUGUCUUCUGUGGGAAUGCACCGAUGGGAACUACUCCGCUGACCAUACUCUACAGUCUGCUCUCUGCUUCAUCAAUGCGUGUUUGGGACCUCCGAAAGGAAGGAACAGGAGAAACUUCGGCCACUGCUUCCUUCUGUCUGCCUCAGUGCCUUGGGAUACAAUGCAUACCCCUCCCAAAAGGGCGCGGGAGAACUGUCGUUCUGGUUCAGCGCCACUAACAUACGUGAUCUUGCAAGGUGGAGGGCAGUAGCCCAGGCCAGCUGAAGAUCCUUCUAGUAAAUCGUUAUUUUCAUAAACAAACACACUUUCACCCCUUCCUCUGUGACGACUGCCAUUCGGUUGUAGCUUGAAGCUACACCCGUAGUUCUGCCAUUGCUGCCUCCACUUUCUAUGCAGAGAAGUCCAGGCAGGUGCUUUCCUUCGAGGAACCAGCUUAACACCAAACCGUCUCCAAUUAAAGUCCUGGUUGUCCCAUGGGUAUCCUGCAGGACAACAUGCACUCAGGCACUUCCACCAAAUUUCUAUUGGGUUAUUCACAUACACACACAUGCUCUCAAAUUACUUAAGCAAGUACCAGUUUAAAAAGAAAAAGAAACAAGGCAUGCAAGUGACAGAGGUGAUACUUCUCAGCUCAUUUCCGGGAAAAAAUGAUAGAACAACGUGGGAAUCCAAGCCUACUGGCUGCCAUGAGCUUCACUUCAAAAAUGCGUGCAGUCCCACCACACGUGCUCACAUCAGGUGUUGAACAAACCAGGUCCUCAGGUGGUGCAGCUCAGCACAGUCGCACAGACCUCCAGCAGCAAGGUUCUGGGUCUCUUUUCUGUCCUUUGAGGACAAUUCAACUCUUUCCCUCAUCGUAAGAACAGUGUUUCUCAGCUUGUUACAUACCAGGGAAUAAGCACUGCUCUCUCACCCCCACAACAAAACUUACUGCCUUAAAAAGGAGAGUGCCGUGCUCUAAUGCUGCAGCGGCUUUCAGGUAGGAGUAAGCGAUGGGAAGGACAACGAAGCCACACUCGUCCCAAAAGCACACAGGAUCUCUCUUACAAACAGUGACAUUUAUUGCAAAGUUACCUUGUACAGCAGGCCGUGUGGUGACAAGUAAGAAAAUCAUAUCCACGUCGCCUCAAAGAACUUUAAUUGAUAUAAAGUACAGCUCAAGAACCUACCCAGACACUUCAAGGAACAGCAGUCGUAAAAAUACUAUUACAAAACACGUAAGCUGACGGGUGAAACUGUUCCACAGUCCACAGGGAAUUACACCAAACAGGCACGGAAAGCACA